UAAAAUUUCGUGGCAAAUUUAUAAUGUAGAUAUCUUGGAUUUAAUAAAAUUUCUUCCAGUUCUAUUAGGGCUUUUACUGACCUUAUCAGUUUAACUAACUUGGAAUUGCCUGGAAAUCGGCCAACUGUUGUUUACCGCAAUUCGUUCUCGAGUCUUGUUCAGCUGCGAAAAUUGUUAGAUUAAUUGUGCCGCAUGUAAAAAGAAAAUAAACUUAAACGUAAAAAAUUGUGGUUUGGUCGUACUGCCCAUGAAAGUGCUAUAGAGAGAGAGGCGGCUUGACUAUUAUAGGAUUGGAUCGAUAGCCGAAUGCUCUUUUCAACAGCUAUCAGCGUUAACUUUCUUAGAUUUAACUGGAAACGUAAUUACCGAGAUGGGGCCUGAUGUUUUCAAUCCUUCUCUUUUAUACUUUGAGGCUAUCUCUCGACCUGCAUUUUUUUUGUUGCUCACGAAUUCGUUAUGACAAAGAUCUCUUUCAGGAUGAGAUGUGCACCCAUAAUGGAAAAAUCAGAGCCUUUGAAACAUUUUUAAAGGUAUUAUGUGAUCCUCCAAGCUUUGCAUA